CGCGACAUGCUCGACACCCGCCUGGGCCGCCGCCGCCUGCUGGCGCUCCAAGGUCUCCUGGAGCCGCUGAAUCUGUUCCCCUUGGCGUUGAACAGACUCCGCUUGUUGCCGCACUACUCCGAUAAGCGCGGCCAUUUGUUCCCUAAGCUCUCCGUCGCUAGUUGCUCCGGAUCGCUCAGGCUCCACGUUCGGCUCCUCCGGCAUCGACCUUGUCUGCGGUCGUCCACGAGGUGCCAUUGCUUCCUGAAAAGAAGCAACUCGCAUUAGUCACCUAACCAACAUUACUUGACCAUACCCAAUUAGGCGAAAGCAACAUACACAUUCAUCCUUAUCUCCAGCGUCAUGUCGUCGGCCGCCCGACAUAAUACUAGAAGUAGAGGAUAAACGAAAAUUAAACUUAGCCUCUAAUCACAUUAGAGACGUCCCUACUCAACCCAACCACAUGCUUUCGCUAACUUUGAUUCCACGUCACUCACGUUUCCUAGAUCCUUAAGGCCUUCCAAUCCUAAGGGUCUCUAGGUCCAUUCCUAUUCUUUCACUAUUGGCUCUGAUACCACGAUAUCUGUCACGCCCCGGGACCGAUGCCAAUUUGGCCCGACCCGAGCACAUCAAACAGACGCCGAACGGACAGAGUUUUCCCUAUCCGCCCAAGGCUCAUCACAUGUACAUUUUCGUCAAUAGAGAAAAGCACUAGCGGAAACAUACACAAACGGCUUACAUGAGGGUAAGCAAUAGCCAUUGGUGAAAGAAAAAGGAAACUAAACAUUCACAAGUAAUAUGAUUCAUUUUAGAUCAUAUACAUUACAUCCAUCUCUUAAAAUUAUGAUUCCUUGUACUUCAUUACACAUUGCAUCAUUUCUUUCUUACAUCACAUUUACCUCAAAAUAAGCUUUACCUUCUUUCUUUACAUCACUAAUCAUCAAUUUCAAAAGAUGAUCAUAAGGGACUUUUCUACAAAAUGAAACUCAACAUCGGUGGCCUCUGACUAAGGCGCGAUACCUUUACCUCGGUCGCUCGCCGGCUCGCUCGGUCCCGGCUCUGUGGAAAUAGUGGGGUGAGAACUACAACAAAGUUCCCAGUGGGUUCGGCCUCAACAUCACCGACUUUCCCACUAGGACUAACUCAGGCAUAAUAGAAGAAAUAGGCUGUAAAUAGUAACCAAACUAUACUUAAUGCUAAUAUGCCUGAACAAAUAGCAAGAAUUAUGCUCAACAUUGAAUAAAUGCAGGUUAUGCAUGUUCUUUAGUUCUUUGCACUUUACACUUUGUUCUUUGCUCUUUGUUCUUUACUCUUUGCUCUUUAAUCAUUAAGGCUAGCCCGGGGGUGUCGCCACAUUAACUUGCUUCACAUUAAGUCCAUCAUCGCAGGAACUCACCAGCUAGGACCGUCCUUACGGGUUUACUCCAACCCGGAUGCAUAAACUCCGGAGCGCAUCGCCCGAGGGGGAGCGACCGCCCUCGAGCACGGAACUCAUAGCAAGUAUGAUCAUAUCCUUAACUCAAAGGAUUUAAAAGUUCAAUCUUGACUUUACACUAGCUCUAGUGUUCUUUACAUCUCUUUAUGUUGCAAACUCAUGCAAUCACAUUCCUUACAUUUCCUUUACUCUUGCUAACUCUAGCAUUCUCGUUCUUAUUGCCCACUUUACUUUAACUUUACACGUUGUCGUUUUCAUCAUUCUUUACAUCACUUUAGUUCUUUACAUCACACUAACUCUAGUGUCAUUUCACAUUAGCUUUAUCGAAUGCCACUCGAUCUAUGUCAUUGUGUCACUCUGUUCUUUUGCUCACUUUGGGUGCUCACUUUCUCUCAUGCAUACACAUAGGGUUUUCGACAUCACAUAGCUCUCAUUCAUCAUAUUAUGCAAGUUGUACUCACAAUCAUGCAUCAUUACAUUUACAUCAUUAC
rnacentral:lncRNA from 1 species